rnacentral:lncRNA from 1 species
AUGUUCCCAAGGCUGCCCACGUGCUUUCUCUUACCCGUUCUGCACACUGGGAAGGCACAUUCCUGUCCUGGAGAACACUUUGAUGGUUACAGACAUCAUCUGCUGGACAAAGAUUCUCACCCCCAGACAGAAUCACAAGAAAACCUCCCAGCUCCACAUCCAGCAUUACGAGUUCUGUUCUGCAUAACUACUUUUGCUUUCAUCUCCCAGCACCACGUGGGCCCUGAGCGCAGCCCCGGGCGCAGUGCAGCAGCGCCGAGGUUUCGGGAUGAUGCGCUCCUCAAAGGUUACAGAGCACCGCGCUGCUUUUCGCCUUUUCAGUCACAUCCAGCAGCUCCAGAGCUCAGAGCGGGGCCACGCAGGCGAACAGGGGCAAACCACGCUGCUCCCACCGGACGUAUCACCGUUUAUUCGCCCCAAGCGCGGAGUUUGGGACAAAUAAAACCCGUCGGAACGGCGCCGCCGUUCGCACCGACUUCAACCACCGCGCUUCCAUCGGAGCCGAGCCCCCAGCGGCCCAACCCCGGCGGGCUCAGCGCUCAACCCGGCCCGGCGCCCCCCCGCCCCGUCCACCCCCUCCAGGCCCCACCCCGGGCCGCAGCGGCGGACGGCCCCGCCCCGGUGCCCAUUCAUUGCGCGGCGGAGCGGCCCGGGCGGAGCGGAGCGGCUCUCGGGGCCCCGCGCGGCGCCGUGCCGGGACAGGCCGCGGACCGGGACCCGGCGCGCCGCCGAGCGCGGAGCUCCCGGCCCGGCGCGGCGCGGCCCCGCGAAGGUCAGCGCCGCUCGCACCGAGGCCCGGCCCGGCCGCGGCGCGCACCGGAGCGCGGCGACCCCCCCGACCCCCGCAGGGCCUCACAUGGCGAGUGGCGGCGGCGGCGACUCCGGCUGGCGCUGCUCGGGGCGGGGGAGGGGCGGCCCGUCCGGCUCCGGGGCGCUCCGGUCCGGUGUGGCGGUGACGCGGCUCGGUGGGCCGAGGGCUCCGGGCGCUCCGAGGGCUCCGGGCUCGGCGCGGCCUCAGCUCCCACAAUGCUCCGCGCGGCGGCGGCGCCCAGCGUUGGUGACGCAGCAAAAUACCGCCGCGCCGAUUCGGCCGCCUUCGCUGCGCAUGCGCGUGUCCCGCGUGUCGCCUCCCGCGCGCGGGCCCCGCCCCCUCCCCGCCUCCCCCCUCGCGCGCGCCCGCUCCCUCCUCCCUUCUAG